UACGUAGGGGGCAAGCGUUGUCCGGAAUCAUUGGGCGUAAAGCGCGCGUAGGCGGCCCUGUAAGUCCGUUGUGAAAGUCCAAGGCUCAACCUUUGAAAGCCGAUGGAUACUGCAGGGCUAGAGUCCGGAAGAGGGGAGUGGAAUUCCUGGUGUAGCGGUGGAAUGCGCAGAUAUCAGGAGGAACACCCAUAGCGAAGGCAGCUCGCUGGGACGGUACUGACGCUAAGGCGCGAAAGCGUGGGGAGCGAACAGG
rnacentral:rRNA from 1 species